GGGGUGAAGGUCGUAACAAGGUAGCCGUAUCGGAAGGUGCGGCUGGAUCACCUCCUUUCUAAGGAUAUUAUACGGAACAUAAGACCUUGGGUCUUAUAAACAGAACGUUCCCUGUCUUGUUUAGUUUUGAAGGAUCAUUCCUUCGAAACGUGUUCUUUGAAAACUAGAUAACAGUAGACAUCACAUUCAAGUAAUACAAGAUAUCACAUAGUGAUUCUUUUUAACGGUUAAGUUAGAAAGGGCGCACGGUGGAUGCCUUGGCACUAGGAGCCGAUGAAGGACGGGACGAACACCGAUAUGCUUCGGGGAGCUGUAAGCAAGCUUUGAUCCGGAGAUUUCCGAAUGGGGAAACCCACCACUCGUAAUGGAGUGGUAUCCAUAUCUGAAUUCAUAGGAUAUGGGAAGGCAGACCCGGGGAACUGAAACAUCUAAGUACC
rnacentral:misc_RNA from 1 species